GACGAACGCUGGCGGCGUGCCUAAUACAUGCAAGUAGAACGCUGAAGGAGGAGCUUGCUCUUCUGGAUGAGUUGCGAACGGGUGAGUAACGCGUAGGUAACCUGCCUUGUAGCGGGGGAUAACUAUUGGAAACGAUAGCUAAUACCGCAUAAGAGUAGAUGUUGCAUGACAUUUGCUUAAAAGUUGCACUUGCAUCACUACCAGAUGGACCUGCGUUGUAUUAGCUAGUUGGGGGGGUAACGGCUCACCAAGGCGACGAUACAUAGCCGACCUGAGAGGGGGAUCGGCCAACCUGGGACCGAGAACAGGCCCAGACUUCUAAGGGAGGGAGCCGGAGGGGAUCUUCGGCAAUAGACGGAAGUCUGACCGAGCAACGCCGGGUGAGUGAAGAAGGUUUUCGGAUCGGAAAGCUCUGUUGUAAGAGAAGAAAGAGUGUGAGAGUGGAAAGUUCACACUGUGACGGUAUCUUACCAGAAAGGGACGGCUAACUACGUG
rnacentral:rRNA from 1 species